GGAGCCAGUCAUGAAAUUACAGUUUUCGUGUUGAGCGUUUUGAGCUGUCGCAUGCAGCAUAUCUUCUUUUCUAUGGAAAAGUAAAAAUUGGGAAAGCAUAAAGAAUUAUUUCCUUUAUUUUAUUUUUGUCCACUCACUCUAACGUUAUUAAAUGUUUUCCCCUGGGCCUUUCGUUUUAAAUUGCCCAGUCUGCAGAGUUCGAGUUGGAUCUAGUAGGAGGCGAGGCAUAGUCACCCGCAUUUCUGCCAGUUUUCAUCAGUAGGUUACAUGUUCAACCUACUCGUGUUUUCUUGCUUCCGCUUGUGUUUAGUAGCUCUGAAUACUUUGGGAUUGUUGUAUAUUAAGUGCUGAAUUAAGAGUGAAAUUUGGAAUUUUCGAGUUAGGGUUGUCCAUCUGCAAGGGAGAUUUUCUCAAUCUUUUCAGUAAAUUUUCCUUGGAGGUGGUCCCCGCACGACUUACUCCGGGUUUCAGGGUGAAAUUCGGGGUGGGUCGUGUCAAAUGUUCUCUCUGGUCUUUCCUUGUCUCUUUUUAACUCUAGCUUGCAAGUUUGCAAUACAUUGUUUGUUACUUGUGUUUUUUAGGUAGCCGUUUGAAGCCGUACAUGAAUAAAACUACCUAAAAAAUACAUAGACGUAUCUUGCUUUUUUUUUUAAGGGUUUGGAACCCAACCAAGCUGGGAGGCUCAGCCCUACGCCCGGUUCCAAUUAUUUUAUUGAAAAAGAGAAACAAAAAAGUACAUAAAGGGAGAGGGGGACAUAGACCAAAACUCCUCCCGAAAAAAGAAGAACAACACAAAAACCUGUGUUCUACUAAGGACAAAGAACAACGAAGAACAUAUUCGUUGCUGCAGCCUAAUGAAUUACAAAUCAAAAAACCAAUAUAAGAUCACAAACUAAAACGAUAGUUGGGGAAACCUGCUAAAUCACGUGAAUAAGCUGUAAUUGCACAAGGUGGACAUGAAUCCCACCAAUGAACUCCCGCAUUAUCCGCACCAAAAUUUGCUAAGCAAUCAGCAACGCUGUUACCCUCCCGAUAAAUAUGAGAUACUUUAACAGUCAUAGUAGCAAGAUAGUCCGACAGUUAAACCAUUCAGUAGUGAAACGCCAAGGAACAUCUACUUUAACGUAUCUUGCUUGAUUUAAUGAGAAAUUUUAUUAACACAUCCCUAGUUACUAGAUACACAUCUCAUUCUUAAUAUACCAUCUAUUGACUUUAUUAUUUUAACAUUUUACUAGAUACACAUACUCAACCUUCCUACAAUAUCCUCAUUUAAAAUACAUCACUUAUUCACUAAAUACACAAUUCAUUCACUAAAUACACAUUCUUUUCUAGAUCUGCUACUCAAUUUAUUCAAAAAAAAAAAAAGGAGUAUAUAUAUAGCAUCAUCCCAAGUUCUAUUUUGGUGUUCAGUUUGAACGACCUAGCAUGCAUGAACAGUUUAAUCUAAAUUUCAAACUUCAAUUUGUACUAUCGAUAGUAAAACCUUAAUAAUUUAAUUUUUUUUAUUAUCAAGGAUGUAAAUUUCAUUCCAACAACUCAAAGAUUACAAAUAUUUGCCAAAAAGUCAUAAAUCCCAUCAGGAAUAGGACCAUACCAUCUGCCAGAGAAACC
rnacentral:lncRNA from 1 species